AGCAAUACCGCACUGAUAUAGGUAUGGAUCCGAAGCCUCUAGAAGGAUAAUAUAGGCACUCCAUACCCUACUCCGACUCAAUACGUCCCCGUCGUACAGAAUGAUAACAUAUCUCUCCAAAUAUCUGAGCUUAGGUAUAUGGGGAAAUCCAACCCCUUGGGAAGAUGGGUCCACGGCGUACAGA
rnacentral:ribozyme from 1 species